rnacentral:rRNA from 2 species
UUGGUGUGGUUGUUGCUGGCCCUCUCGGGGGCAUGUGCACACCCACCAUCCUCAUCUCUCCACCUGUGCACCUCUUGUAGACCUGGAUUGACUUUCCGAGGCAACUCGGUCGGGAAGAUUGCUGCGCUCUGUGAGCCAGCUUUCUUUGCAUGUCCAGGCCUAUGUUUUUCAUAUACCCCUAUAGAAUGUAACAGAAUGUAUCAUUGGGCCUUGUGCCUAUAAACCUUAUACAACUUUCAGCAACGGAUCUCUUGGCUCUCGCAUCGAUGAAGAACGCAGCGAAAUGCGAUAAGUAAUGUGAAUUGCAGAAUUCAGUGAAUCAUCGAAUCUUUGAACGCACCUUGCGCUCCUUGGUAUUCCGAGGAGCAUGCCUGUUUGAGUGUCAUUAAAUUCUCAACCUUAUUAACUUUUGUUGAUAAUGGAUUGGAUUGUGGGGGUUUCUUUUGCUGGCUUCUUCACAGAGAUCAGCUCCCCUUAAAUGCAUUAGCUGGUGCCCCGCGUGGACCAUCUAUUGGUGUGAUAAUUAUCUACGCCGUGGAUGUCUGCAAUCAUAUGGGUUUCGCACUGCUUCUAACCGUCUGUUCAUUCGGACAAUACAUGACAAUUUGACCUCAAAUCAGGUAGGACUACCCGCUGAACUUAAGCAUAUCAAUAAGCGGGAGGA